rnacentral:tRNA from 1 species
GGGAAGGUAGCUUAGCGAUAGAGUGCAUGCCUUGCAAGCAUGAUGCCCUGGGUUCGAUUCCUCAGCACCA